UGCAAGUCGAGCGGACAGAUGGGAGCUUGCUCCCUGAUGUUAGCGGCGGACGGGUGAGUAACACGUGGGUAACCUGCCUGUAAGACUGGGAUAACUCCGGGAAACCGGGGCUAAUACCGGAUGGUUGUCUGAACCGCAUGGUUCAGACAUAAAAGGUGGCUUCGGCUACCACUUACAGAUGGACCCGCGGCGCAUUAGCUAGUUGGUGAGGUAACGGCUCACCAAGGCGACGAUGCGUAGCCGACCUGAGAGGGUGAUCGGCCACACUGGGACUGAGACACGGCCCAGACUCCUACGGGAGGCAGCAGUAGGGAAUCUUCCGCAAUGGACGAAAGUCUGACGGAGCAACGCCGCGUGAGUGAUGAAGGUUUUCGGAUCGUAAAGCUCUGUUGUUAGGGAAGAACAAGUGCCGUUCAAAUAGGGCGGCACCUUGACGGUACCUAACCAGAAAGCCACGGCUAACUACGUGCCAGCAGCCGCGGUAAUACGUAGGUGGCAAGCGUUGUCCGGAAUUAUUGGGCGUAAAGGGCUCGCAGGCGGUUUCUUAAGUCUGAUGUGAAAGCCCCCGGCUCAACCGGGGAGGGUCAUUGGAAACUGGGGAACUUGAGUGCAGAAGAGGAGAGUGGAAUUCCACGUGUAGCGGUGAAAUGCGUAGAGAUGUGGAGGAACACCAGUGGCGAAGGCGACUCUCUGGUCUGUAACUGACGCUGAGGAGCGAAAGCGUGGGGAGCGAACAGGAUUAGAUACCCUGGUAGUCCACGCCGUAAACGAUGAGUGCUAAGUGUUAGGGGGUUUCCGCCCCUUAGUGCUGCAGCUAACGCAUUAAGCACUCCGCCUGGGGAGUACGGUCGCAAGACUGAAACUCAAAGGAAUUGACGGGGGCCCGCACAAGCGGUGGAGCAUGUGGUUUAAUUCGAAGCAACGCGAAGAACCUUACCAGGUCUUGACAUCCUCUGACAAUCCUAGAGAUAGGACGUCCCCUUCGGGGGCAGAGUGACAGGUGGUGCAUGGUUGUCGUCAGCUCGUGUCGUGAGAUGUUGGGUUAAGUCCCGCAACGAGCGCAACCCUUGAUCUUAGUUGCCAGCAUUCAGUUGGGCACUCUAAGGUGACUGCCGGUGACAAACCGGAAGAAGGUGGGGGAUAAAGUCAAAUCUUCCUGGCCCCUUUUAACCGGGGG
rnacentral:rRNA from 2 species